UACGGAGGGUGCGAGCGUUGUCCGGAAUCACUGGGCGUAAAGGGCGCGUAGGCGGCCUGAUAAGUAGGGGGUGAAAUCCUGCGGCUUAACCGCAGGGCUGCCUUCUAAACUGUCAGGCUCGAGCACAGUAGAGGCAGGUGGAAUUCCGGGUGUAGCGGUGGAAUGCGUAGAGAUCCGGAAGAACACCGGUGGCGAAGGCGGUCUGCUGGGCAGUGGCUGGACG
rnacentral:rRNA from 1 species